GAUUUAUCCAUCGGAUCACCAGCAUUGAUGGUAAUAUAAAUAGAUCUAACAUUGUUGCGUUGAUGUUUAGACUAGUUAUAUACUGAUUUUAUACUCCGUUCUUACUGAUUCUAGUUCCAUUUCAAACACAUAUGUAAAUGAUUAAAACGAAACCUGGGAAGCUGGACAAUCAGAUACACGCGAACAAGUGCAUGUUCAACAGGGAUAGCAAAUACUCCCGUUAUGAUCAAAGGUCCCGAUGAAGUGUGUGUACAUUAACAGGAUAUUUAAGCCCUUAAAAAAUGAAUUAUAUAUUAAAUUAUAAGGAAUGACUAAUAUUUUUUUCUGUCUUUUCGAAAUACCCUCAAAAUUGUGGUGCACCUUUUUAAAUAACCCUUUUUACGGGUUAUUCUGUGUGCAUCACAUUUUUAUUUACAUGUUAUUUCUUCAUGGACAGAAAAAAUAAAUAUUAUAGUCUUUCUUAAAUAUAGCUCAACAUAAGUGUUUACUUUGAAAGCUAUGUACGUUGUACCUUAUUGUAUAUUAUUUUCUUGAAAUA
rnacentral:lncRNA from 1 species